rnacentral:rRNA from 1 species
GAUGAACGCUGGCGGCGUGCCUAAUACAUGCAAGUCGAGCGAACGGACGAGAAGCUUGCUUCUCUGAUGUUAGCGGCGGACGGGUGAGUAACACGUGGAUAACCUACCUAUAAGACUGGGAUAACUUCGGGAAACCGGAGCUAAUACCGGAUGAUAUUUUGAACCGCAUGGUUCAAAAGUGAAAGACGGUCUUGCUGUCACUUAUAGAUGGAUCCGCGCUGCAUUAGCUAGUUGGUAAGGUAACGGCUUACCAAGGCAACGAUGCAUAGCCGACCUGAGAGGGUGAUCGGCCACACUGGAACUGAGACACGGUCCAGACUCCUACGGGAGGCAACAGUAGGGAAUCUUCCGCAAAGGGGGAAAGCCUGACGGAGCAACGCCGCGUGAGUGAUGAAGGUCUUCGGAUCGUAAAACUCUGUUAUUAGGGAAGAACAUAUGUGUAAGUAACUGUGCACAUCUUGACGGUACCUAAUCAGAAAGCCACGGCUAACUACGUG